rnacentral:lncRNA from 1 species
AGGUACUUUGAACUCAAGUAAACAAAAGGGAAGAUUUUCUCGUUGAUACUGGAGACUGCACAACAAUGGGGCCACGAAAGAAAAGUGUGAAAACAUGUAUCAUGAAUAAUGAAAUUCCAGAAGAAAUGACAGCAGAUGAAACAAAGGACUAUAUGAAUCAACUUUCACAUGAAGUACUUUGCCAUAUUUUUAGGAUAUCAUGUGUAUGGAAUGUCUUUCCCGGAAGCUAAAGGAAGCAGUGACCCUAUAUCUGCGAGUUGUGAGAGUUGUAGAUCUCUGUGCAGGGCGGUGGUGGGAAUACAUGCCAAGUGGCUUUACAGAUGCCAGUUUUCUAACACUAUUAAAGAAGAUGCCAGAUGUUGAACAGCUAUAUGGCCUUCACCCUCGAUACCUUGAGAGGCGAAGAGUAAGGGGCCAUGAGGCUUUUAGCAUUCCAGGAGUCCUAGAAGCUUUGCAGGCAUGCCCAAACUUAGUGGGUGUGGAAACUUCUCAUUUGGAGUUGGUAGAAUCCAUUUGGACAUAUAUGCCCCAUGUUCAUAUUUUGGGGAAAUUUCGUAAUCGUAAUGGAGCUUUUCCAAUUCCUCCUGAAA